UACGUGGGGGGCGAACGUUGUUCGGUGUCACUGGGCUUAAAGGGCGCGUAGGUGGCUGUGCAAGUAAGGUGUGAAAGCCCUCGGCUUACCCGGGGAAUUGCGCCUUAAACUGCAUGGCUUGAGGGAUUCAGGGGAAUGGGGAACUCCAGGUGUAGCGGUGAAAUGCGCAGAUAUCUGGGGGAAGGCCGGCGGCGAAGGCGAAUCUCUGGACAGUUACUGACACUGAGGCACGAAGGCCAGGGGAGCAAACGGG
rnacentral:rRNA from 1 species